rnacentral:rRNA from 1 species
UUAUGGCGGCGGGGUUCCACCUCUAUCCAUUCCGAACAGAGAAGUUAAGCCCGCUUGCGCCGAUGGUACUGCAGAUUGUGGGAGAGUAGGAGGCCGCCAUCU